GGGGAGAUGACCAGUAAAUGGUUUCAGCUUGUUUUGGUAGCUGCCUGGAUGUAAUGUUGCCGUGUCUGUUGUCUUUUUUAAGACUUGGGGGGAUGGGGGGUUUCUGGUGAGUCUGUGGGUGCAUGAAAUGGAUGGAAGUGGAAGCUGGAAGAACGUGCGUGUGACAUUGAUUAGUGUGUGCUGAUGAUCAGGGUUGGUGCACUUUUGAGCUGGAGAGAGAGUCUGUGUGCAGUGCUGUGGCAGCGGAUGCUAUAGGUGUUCUGUGCGUGUAAUGCCAAGGGGCAGAGGAUGCUAUAGGUGUUCUGUGCGUGUAAUGCCAGGGGGCAGCGGAUGCUAUAGGUGUUCUGUGUGUGUAAUGCCAAGGGGCAGAGGAUGCUAUAGGUGUUCUGUGCGUGUAAUGCCAGGGGGCAGCGGAUGCUAUAGGUGUUCUGUGUGUGUAAUGCCAGGGGGCAGCGGAUGCUAUAGGUGUUCUGUGUGUGUAAUGCCAGGGGGCAGAGGAUGCUAUAGGUGUUCUGUGUGUGUAAUGCCAGGGGGCAGCGGAUGCUAUAGGUGUUCUGUGUGUGUAAUGCCAGGGGGCAGAGGAUGCUAUAGGUGUUCUGUGUGUGUAAUGCCAAGGGGCAGAGGAUGCUAUAGGUGUUCUGUGUGUGUAAUGCCAGGGGGCAGAGGAUGCUAUAGGUGUUCUGUGUGUGUAAUGCCAGGGGGCAGAGGAUGCUAUAGGUGUUCUGUGUGUGUAAUGCCAGGGGGCAGCGGAUGCUAUAGGUGUUCUGUGUGUGUAAUGCCAGGGGGCAGAGGAUGCUAUAGGUGUUCUGUGUGUGUAAUGCCAGGGGGCAGAGGAUGCUAUAGGUGUUCUGUGUGUGUAAUGCCAGGGGGCAGAGGAUGCUAUAGGUGUUCUGUGUGUGUAAUGCCAGGGGGCAGCGGAUGCUAUAGGUGUUCUGUGUGUGUAAUGCCAGGGGGCAGCGGAUGCCAUUGGCAGGGUGUGUAGUGUCACUUUAGGGACGACAUGUCAGUUUGGAGACAAUGUCAUCCCUAAAUACACAUGACCUCAAUCCUAUAGAGCUGCAGAGUGCCAGCCUUUACCCUCCAUGUAAGGCACUGGGCCGAUGUGGGCACACAUGCAUGGAUGGAUGUGUUUCUGAUGGUAUAGAUAGCCUCUAGAUAGAUAUUCCUUACGUCUCUUCAGGGGGGAAGUCCUUGUCAUCAUCGUUAACACUGACAAGUCCACUCUGAGACGACCCUAGAGUAGACACCAUGCAAAGUUGGUGACAACUCUCUUUCUCCUAUCACUUCGUCCCUCUACUCCUAUCACUUCGCCCCUCCACUCCUAUUACUUCGUCCCUCCACUCCUAUCACUUCGCCCCUCCACUCCUAUCACUUCGUCCCUCUACUCCUAUCACUUCGCCCCUCCACUCCUAUCACUUCGUCCCUCCACUCCUAUCACUUCGCCCCUCCACUCCUAUCACUUCGUCCCUCUACUCCUAUCACUUCGCCCCUCCACUCCUAUCACUUCGUCCCUCCACUCCUAUCACUUCGUCCCUCUACUCCUAUCACUUCGCCCCUCCACUCCUAUCACUUCGUCCCUCUACUCCUAUCACUUCGCCCCUCCACUCCUAUUACUUCGUCCCUCCACUCCUAUCACUUCGCCCCUCCACUCCUAUCACUUCGUCCCUCUACUCCUAUCACUUCGCCCCUCCACUCCUAUCACUUCGUCCCUCUACUCCUAUCACUUCGCCCCUCCACUCCUAUCACUUCGUCCCUCUACUCCUAUCACUUCGCCCCUCCACUCCUAUCGCUUCGUCCCUCCACUCCUAUCACUUCGUCCCUCCACUCCUAUCACUUCGUCCCUCCACUCCUAUCACUUCGUCCCUCCACUCCUAUCACUUCGUCCCUCCACUCCUAUCACUUCGUCCCUCCACUCCUAUCACUUCGUCCCUCCACUCCUAUCACUUCGCCCCUCCACUCCUAUCACUUCGUCCCUCCACUCCUAUCACUUCGUCCCUCCACUCCUAUCACUUCGUCCCUCCACUCCUAUCACUUCGCCCCUCCACUCCUAUCACUUCGCCCCUCCACUCCUAUCACUUCGUCCCUCUACUCCUAUCACUUCGCCCCUCCACUCCUAUCACUUCGUCCCUCUACUCCUAUCACUUCGCCCCUCCACUCCUAUCACUUCGUCCCUCUACUCCUAUCACUUCGCCCCUCCACUCCUAUCGCUUCGUCCCUCCACUCCUAUCACUUCGUCCCUCCACUCCUAUCACUUCGUCCCUCCACUCCUAUCACUUCGUCCCUCUACUCCUAUCACUUCGCCCCUCCACUCCUAUCACUUCGUCCCUCCACUCCUAUCACUUCGUCCCUCCACUCCUAUCACUUCGUCCCUCCACUCCUAUCACUUUGUCCCUCCACUCCUAUCACUUCGCCCCUCCACUCCUAUCACUUCGUCCCUCCACUCCUAUCAAUUAGUCCCUCCACUCCUAUCACUUCGUCCCUCCCUCUCUCUCCCCAGCAUAUGCCUCCCACUCUCUACGAGCCUACCCCUUCCCUCCCUCGUCUCCCUCCCAUCUCUCCCUCGUCUCCAUGACACUAACUCACUUUGGCAGUGUCUCCAGUGCAGUGUGGGAUAAUCCAACUGGGCGGGGUGUUAAAGUAGGUCCCAGCCGGCCCUCUCAGCUCCAUAAUGGAUCGAUCUGGACGACCCCACAGCCGGCAGCUGUAAUGGUAUUUUUUACACCCAGCUAGCUAGCGGAGGCGGAGCAGAGUAACGCUAAUGCACACCGCCGCCCUCCAACACACUCCAUCUGUAAAGCAGUGUGGGGGUCGCAUCGCUGACAAGUGGUUAAAAAUGAAUAGGAGAUGGAAAAUGAGAACGCAGUCAGGAGGGAGAGCGGGAGGGAGAAAGUGAGAGAUGAUAGAAACAGAGGGGUGAACUCAUUUCAGUCUCCCAAUGUGGGGAUGCUUGUCGGAAAUGCUUUCUAUCACUAUCAUUAUUUUUCUAGUUCCUCCCUGUCUCACUGUCUCUCUUUCUUAGUCCAUAUGGCAAAAUUCCACAUGUUCUAUUCAGCCCAGUUGAAGUUAGAAUGUGGGGCAAUAUCGCCCACCUAAGUAAUUGGAGGGGAAACUUUAGCUAUUUGUAGUCUAUUCACAAAGCCCAGGUGGCACACUGGUUGUUUUAUAGUUAUUUUAGUCUCCUGAUGGUUUUGUCCUUGUGCAGGUUGAGUUGUGGAGUCGAUAUUAUGAGCUGUUGAGGGAUUGGCCGGGCUGGGAGGUUGAAAUGACGUUACCAUGGUUUCCGAUGGCAUAGGGGAAGUCACAGUGUCAUAGAAUGGUCAGGUAACAACUGCCUUACCAAAUCAAAUCAAAUCAAAUUUAUUUAUAUAGCCCUUCGUACAUCAGCUGAUAUCUCAAAGUGCUGUACAGAAACCCAGCCUAAAACCCCAAACAGCAAACAAUGCAGGUGUAAAAGCACGGUGGCUAGGAAAAACUCCCUAGAAAGGCCAAAACCUAGGAAGAAACCUAGAGAGGAACCGGGCUAUGUGGGGUGGCCAGUCCUCUUCUGGCUGUGCCGGGUAGAGAUUAUAACAGAACAUGACCAAGAUGUUAAAAUGUUCAUAAAUGACCAGCAUGGUCGAAUAAUAAUAAGGCCGAACAGUUGAAACUGGAGCAGCAGCACAGUCAGGUGGACUGGGGACAGCAAGGAGCCAUCAUGUCAGGUAGUCCUGGGGCACGGUCCUAGGGCUCAGGUCCUCCGAGAGAGAGAAAGAAAGAGAGAAUUAGAGAGAGCAUAUGUGGGGUGGCCAGUCCUCUUCUGGCUGUGCCGGGUGGAGAUUAUAACAGAACGUGGCCAAGAUGUUCAAAUGUUCAUAAAUGACCAGCAUGGUUGAAUAAUAGUAAGGCAGAACAGUUGAAACUGGAGCAGCAGCAUGGCCAGGUGGACUGGGGACAGCAAGGAGUCAUCAUGUCAGGUAGUCCUGGGGCAUGGUCCUAGGGCUCAGGUCC